GGAAGUAGUUUAGUCUAGAAACUUCUAUGUUUUUGAAACUUAUAGCACAAUUCAAACUAGCCACACUUCAAGUACUUAGCAGUUUUAUGCAUGGCCUGUGGGUAUUGUUUUAGACAAAUCUUAGUCUACCCACUGGGAUAAAUUAAGGGCUUUUUAAAAUCAACACAUUUGCUUCACUUUACAUGAAUUUUUUUCAAGUCAUCACCCUUUUUUGUCUCAGUGCCUUUUUUCCUGUGGGCAAAUCUCUCAGUCAUGCUUUCUAUUGGCAUGAUGGCUUUUAAAAUUCAAAUUUGUAUGACUUUAAAAAUAAUUCAUCUAGAAUACUAUAAUUAUAUUGGGGCAUUUUUUAAUUUUAAAAAUUAUUUUUAGUCAUAGUAAGUGCACAUAACAUGAAAUUUACAAUUUUAAGAAUUUUCAACCAUAAAAUUCAAUGGUAUUAAGUAUAUUCACAUUGUUGUUCGACCAAUGCCAUUAUCCAUCUCCAGAAUUUUUUCAUCACCCCAACCUGAAAUCAUCCCAAUCCACUAAUUAAACUAUUUCCAAUUUCCCCUCCUCCCAAUCCCUGGUAACCACUAUUCUACUUUCUGUCUCUAUGAAUUUGCCUAUUCCAGAUGCCUCCUUCAAAUGGAAACACAGUAUUUAUUCUUUUGUGUCUGGCAUAUUUCACUUAGCUCAAUGUCUUUCAAGAUUCACCAAUGUUUAGGCAAAAUUAAUAUUGUUAAAAUGGCCAUAUUACUGAAAACAAUAUACAAAUGAAUUAAAUCCCCAUCAAAAUACUAAUGACAUUCUGCACAGAACUAGAAAAAAAAAGUCCUAAAAUUCAUUUGGAAGAAAAAAGAUGGAGAUUAGACAAAGCAAUUCUAAGCCAAAAAAAAGCAACGCUGGAGACAUCACAAUACCUGAUUUCAUAUUCUACUACAGAACUACAUGGUAUUAACAUGAAAACAGACACAUGGACCAGUGGUUCAAAAUAGAUGAUACAGAAAGAAAUCCACACAUCCACAUCAUCUGAUCCUUGACAAAGGUGCCAAAAACAUACAUUGGAGAAAAGACAGACAUUUUAACAAAUGGUGCUGGGAAAACUGGUUAUCCACAUGUAGAAGAAUGAAACUAGACCCUUAUCCCUUACCCUGCACAAAAAUCAACUCCAGAUGGAUCAAAGACCUAGGAAUUAGACCAGAAACCAUGCAACUCCUAGAAAAAAACAUAGGAUCAGCACUUCUGCAUUAUAGGCCCAGGCAACAACUUUCUCAGUAGGACCCCUAAAGUUCAGGAAAUACAGCCAAGAGUUAAUAAAUGUGAUGGCAUCAAAUUAAAAAGCUUAUGAAAAGCUUUUUAAUUUUAACAGCAAACAAAACAAUUAGAAAUGUGAAAAGAGAAUCUACAGACUGGAAGAAAAUCUUUGUUGGCUACUAUCCUUACAGAGGAUUAAUAUCUAGAAUAUAUAAAGAGCUCAUCAAACACCAAAAAAAUCAAUUGCCCAUUUAAUGAAUGGGCAAAUAAACAGAUGCUUCUCAAAAAGAAGAAAUGCAUUUGGCAAACAAAAAGACUUAACAUUAUCAGUAGUUAGGGAAAUACGUAUCAAAACUAUACUAAGACUUUGUCUCACACAAUCAGAAUGGCAGUCAUCAAGAAUAUAAACAAUAAUAAAUGCUGGACAGGAUGAGGAGAAAAAGGAACGUUUUUACAGUUUGUGUGAUUGUAAAUUAUUAUAACCACAAUGGAAUUCAAUAUGGAGGUUCCUCAAGAGACUAGGCAUUGGAACCACCAUAUGACCCACCCAUACCACUCUUUGGUAUUUAUCCUAAAGAAUUAAAGUCAUCAGACUACAAUGAUACAUUCACACCCAUGUUUAUAGCAGCACAACUCACAUGGAACCCCCUACAUGCCCAUCAGCCAACGAAUGGAUAAAGAAAAAUGUGAUGCGCGCGCAUGCGCACGAUGGAGUUUUAUUGAACCAUAAAGAAAAAUGAAAUUAUGAUAUUUGCAGGAAAAUGGAUGGAACUUGAGACCAUUAUGUUAAGCGAAAUAAGCCAAACUCAGAAGGUCAUAUGUUUUCUCUCAUAUGUGGAAGCUAGAAAGUAAAAAGGAAAAGAAGCAGGGGCUGGGGAUCUCAUGAAAAUCAAAGGGAGAUAAGUAGAGAACAGGGAUCAGGAGGGAGCAGGGAUUGCUAGGGAAUGAUACUGGCCAAAAUAUAUUGCUACAUUGAGUGCAAUUAGAUAUGUAACAACAAAUUCCAUCAUUAUGCGUAAUUAUAAUGCACCAAUAAAAACAUGAAAUUAAAAAUGUUUCAUCUAUAUUAUAGUAUGUGUCAGAAUUUUCUUCUGUAUUACAGAUGAGUAGUAUACAACUGCCCUAUACCACAUUUCAUUUAACUGAUCAUCUAUUGAUGAAUACAUGAAGGCUGUUGCCAAAUUUUGGCUAUUGUGAAUGAUGCUGCCAUAAAUAAAGAUAUAAAAAUAUCAAUGUGAGAAUCUGCUUUCAAUU
rnacentral:lncRNA from 1 species